GAAUCAUAAAGACAUUGUCAUAACAUUAUGUUCUUAAAAUUACACUAGGAAAGAGAACUUGAAGCAAAUAAAACAGAAAAGGUAAAAGAAGCUCGGCUUGAAGCUGAAGUGAAGCUGCUAAGGAAAGAGAACGAGGCUCUUCGCAGGCACAUAGCCGUUCUCCAGGCUGAAGUUUAUGGGGCGAGGUUGGCCGCCAAGUACUUGGACAAGGAGCUGGCUGGCAGGGUCCAACAAAUACAGUUACUGGGACGGGAUAUGAAGGGACCUGCUCAUGACAAGCUCUGGAACCAGUUAGAAGCUGAAAUACAUUUGCAUCGCCACAAAACAGUCAUCC
rnacentral:lncRNA from 1 species